GUAGCUAAAUGCGGAAGAGAUAAGUGCUGAAAGCAUCUAAGCACGAAACUUGCCCCGAGAUGAGUUCUCCCUGACUCCUUGAGAGUCCUGAAGGAACGUUGAAGACGACGACGUUGAUAGGCCGGGUGUGUAAGCGCAGCGAUGCGUUGAGCUAACCGGUACUAAUGAACCGUGAGGCUUAACCUUACAACGCCGAAG
rnacentral:rRNA from 1 species